CAAAAUCGAAAGUAGCUCCAGAUCAAGUGGAGCACGCCAACUCGCGCUGAUCAAGGAUCCUAAGAAGGGGGACCGUCAGCUUGCCUACCUACACCUGCGGGCAUGAAACGCANNNNNNNNNNNNNNNNNNNNNNNNNCAUCAAGCCUCUGAGGGUAUCCCAUCAUAUCGUCUCGGCCACUGUGGACAACAUCAUCAACAUGUACCAACUGAUUAGGUGGUAUGAGCACCUAAUUUUUGACUAUAUUUAUAUUUUAUCACCUUUUUAGUGUUUAAAUAUUUGUUAAGUUUAAUCUUGAUAUUUUAGCCUUUAUUUCACUUUUUAGUAGGUUUAUUUGAUAAAAUAAAAAAAGAAAUACAAAAAAAAGAAUCACAUUUUUAGAUAAUUGUUGUGUUUUAUUUGCAAGAAAAAGAAAUUCACAAAAAAUACGUCUUUUUUUUUUUUAAUUUUGGUAAGACUACUUUAUAACUUUUUCCUUAAUAUUUCUUGUAUUUUUCUAAUUUUUAAUAUUAUUGUAGUAUUUUUAAUUUUAGAUUUUUUUUUUAGAAAAGGAGCCAAUUAAGAAUUGCCAAAUGCCAAAAGAUUCCAUUUUAUCCCUAGUAACUAACUCCCACUCACUCACUUUCUUGGCAAUUUCUCAUUAAUUCACACACUCUACCCAUUGGAUUCUUUUACACAACACACACAUAUUCCCUUUUUUGGAAGUCUCUCACACACACAUGAAUCACCACUCUAGAAGAAACACAGAAAACACGAGGGAAAGGGGUGUGUGACGAAGAAAGAUAAAAAGGGGUUAAAAAACAGAAAACAGAGGAGAGGAAGAAAAAGAAAGGAAUGAAAAAACAUAGGAGGGGAUAGACGAGAAACAAAGAAAAAGAAUAAGGGAUUGGGUCAUCUCCUUCCACGCAAAAAGAUCAGUUCCAAUUUUUUCCCUUAGAAGCCAUGUAUUUUACCACCAAAAAGUCAUCUCUUUUCUCUUCCUAAGAUCUAGAUCCAAGAGCUAAAACAAAAGUUGCUUACCUUCUUCUCCUUCUUAAAAUACCUCCAUUAAACCACCCUCCAAAGAGCCCAUUUUUUAAGCCAUGAAAAUCAGUCCCUAAAGCUCCUUUAAUCAAUUGAAAAUCAGCUGCAACAUUAUGCAAAAACGCAGCAGCAGUUCGGCUGUAAAACCAGUCCAAAUUCCAGCUUGAAAUCACCCCAAUACAGUCUAACAACGACCCCCAAGAGCAGCUCUGUUUCUCAAUGAAAUCGCCAGAAAUCGGCCUUCAAACUCCAUAAACACAGCAGUUUGGUCUUCCUCACUGUCGAGAUUCGAGUUUUUCUGAAAAGUUCGAAGUCAUUCGAGGUUCUUGCUCACAGCUUCGGUUCGUCGGUUUUCUUUUGCUUUGAUCCAGUUUCUUCUCAGCAGUUAAGGUUUGGUUUUCCACUGUAUUCUCCAAUCAAUUCUUAAGCAUAUGAAUAAAUGACUUUGAUGUGGGUAAUAUGUGAAAAGUGGAUUGAAUUUCUCUUAUUAUUCUAUAUGAGUUUGACUAUUUAGUUCAUUGAACGAUUAAUUUUUGGGAAGUGUUUAAGUUUCUUGAACUCAUGGUUUUCUGUUGCCACAAGGAAAUGAGCGAGACUUUCCCUAUGGAUAUAUGUAUUGAAUGUUUGAG
rnacentral:lncRNA from 1 species